rnacentral:rRNA from 1 species
UUGACUGACUGAGUGCCAGCCGCCGCGGGUGGUGCAGAUGAUUGGGGUGAAGUCGUAACAAGGUAACUCUCAGUCAGUCAAGUCGUAACAAGGUAACCUCAGUCAGUCAAGUCGUAACAAGGUAGCCUUAGUCAGUCAGUCAAGUCGUAACAAGGUAGCCUCAGUCAGUCAAGUCGUAACAAGGUAACCUCAGUCAGUCAAGUCGUAACAAGGUAGCCUCAGUUCGCGGAGAGGCGUUGUGAUGGACCUCUUCCGUUCUUGUUAUACUCGUGCUGGCGUCGUGCGCGAGCGGUUCCUAUAAGCGGAUACGGUAUCACAGAUAUGAUACGAGAAAAACUUUACAAGCAUAAGCAUACCGAAA